rnacentral:lncRNA from 1 species
ACCACAGCCUGCCACAAACUCACUUUUUGAAUUAAUUGUGAGAUGUUGGGCUUGAAAAUCAGGUUCAAUUUUUUUUUAAAGAGUUUUCUAUAGUUGUGAUUCUCUCAUUCAUAGGUCAAAAGGCCACACUGGCAAAGUAACAACACAGAAUUUUAUUACAGCUGCUAGAUAUGAAGACUCAGCAUAUGAUAUCGGUGACGUUAAUACCUUCCCAGGGAGAAGCGCUGUUCCUUCUGGCUGGGAAGUGCGAGCCGGUGGGGGGAGAGAGAGGAGUAGAGCAUUAUGUGGAGGUACUUCCCGGUUCCCUUGCGUCUGAGGGUCUUAUGCCAGAGGGGAUAGAAAGCCCAACAGAAACUCAAGAUAGAAGAAGGAGAAUCUGCGAGUGUCUGUCUCCUGUCAAGCUUCCCUAAUACAGCCCUGGUAGAACUUCAUCAACAGUGGAAGGCAUUUGCAAAGCCGGUUCAGAGGAAGAGUGAAAUCCCCAAGAUCAGCAGGGCAAAAUGCUGGAAGUUGUCGAGGAUGCAGAGAGUAGCAGGAAGACACCUCUGAGAACUCACUCACACACCCUGCCCCUGUGUAGAGAUGUCAUCCUGGGGA